rnacentral:rRNA from 1 species
UACGGGGGGGGCAAGCGUUGUUCGGAAUUACUGGGCGUAAAGGGCUCGUAGGCGGCCAACUAAGUCAGACGUGAAAUCCCUCGGCUUAACCGGGGAACUGCAUCUGAUACUGGAUGGCUUGAGUUCGGGAGAGGGAUGCGGAAUUCCAGGUGUAGCGGUGAAAUGCGUAGAUAUCUGGAGGAACACCGGUGGCGAAGGCAAUCCCCUGGGCCUGUACUGACGCUCAUGCACGAAAGCGUGGGGAGCAAACAGG